GAUGAAGAACGUAGCGAAAUGCGAUAAGUAAUGUGAAUUGCAGAAUUCAGUGAAUCAUCGAAUCUUUGAACGCACAUUGCGCCCCCUGGUAUUCCGGGGGGCAUGCCUGUUCGAGCGUCAUUUUCACCAUCAAGCUCUGCUUGUGUUGGGGUCCUGCGGCUGCCCGCAGGCCCUGAAACCCAGUGGCGGGCUCGCUAGUCACACCGAGCGCAGUAGCACAUCUCGCUCAGGGCGUGCGGCGGGUUCUUGCCGUAAAACAACCCCCCCUUUUCACCAAGGUUGACCUCGGAUCAGGUAGGAAUACCCGCUGAACUUAAGCAUAUCAAUAAGCGGAGGA
rnacentral:misc_RNA from 1 species